UGACAGGGCUUUCUCAUUGCCUCCAAAC
rnacentral:piRNA from 1 species